rnacentral:lncRNA from 1 species
AUGGCCCCAUUAUUCCCUAUGGCCCCAUUCUAUCCAAUGGCCCCAUUAUUCCCAAUGGGGCUCCCAUUGUACCCUAUGGCCCCGUUGUACCCAAUGGCCCCGUUGUACCCAAUGGCCCCGUUGUACCCAAUGGCCCCAUUGUACCCAAUGGCCCCAUUAUCCCCUAUGGCUCCCAUUAUCCCCUAUGGCCCCAUUGUACCCAAUGGCCCCAUUAUUCCCUAUGGCUCCCAUUAUUCCCAAUGGCCCCAUUGUAUCCAAUGGCCCCAUUAUUCCCUAUGGCCCCAUUAUUCCCUAUGGCCCCAUUAUUCCCAAUGGCCCCCAUUAUUCCCUAUGGCUCCCAUUAUAUCCAAUGGCUCCCAUUAUAUCCAAUGGCUCCCAUUAAAUCCUAUGGCUCCCAUUAUAUCCAAUGGCCCCAUUGUAUCCAAUGGCUCCCAUUGUAUCCAAUGGCCCCAUUGUAUCCAAUGGCCCCAUUAUUCCCUAUGGCUCCCAUUAUUCCCUAUGGCUCCCAUUAUUCCCUAUGGCUCCCAUUAUUCCCUAUGGCUCCCAUUGUACCCAAUGGCCCCAUUGUAUCCUAUGGCCCCAUUCUAUCCAAUGGCCCCAUUAUUCCCUAUGGCCCCAUUGUAUCCAAUGGCCCCAUUAUUCCCUAUGGGCUCCCAUUAUUCCCUAUGGCCCCAUUAUUCCCAAUGGCCCCAUUAUAUCCAAUGGCCCCAUUGUACCCAAUGGCCCCAUUAUCCCCUAUGGCCCCAUUAUACCCAAUGGCUCCCAUUAUUCCCUAUGGCUCCCAUUGUAUCCAAUGGCCCCAUUAUUCCCUAUGGCCCCAUUAUAUCCAAUGGCCCCAUUCUGCCCUACAGCCCCAUUAUUUCCUACAGCCCCGUUCUUUCCUAUAGCCCCACUCUUUCCUAUAGCCCCAUUCUAUCCAAUGGCCCCAUUAUCCCCUAUGGCCCCAUUGUAGCCAAUGGCCCCAUUAUACCCAAUGGCGCUGCUCUCUGUCGCCCCCUGCAGACGAGCGCGAGUCGGUGCAGAUGA